AACGAACGCUGGCGGCAAGCCUAACACAUGCAAGUCGAGCGAGUAAGAGCCCGCAAGGGAGUUCUGCUAGCGGCAGACGGGUGCGUAACACGUGGGAAUCUCCCUAAUAGUACGGAAUAGCCUCGGGAAACUGGGAUUAAUACCGUAUACGCCCUUCGGGGGAAAGAUUUAUCGCUAUUAGGUGAGCCCGCGUAAGAUUAGCUAGUUGGUGAGGUAAUGGCUCACCAAGGCUACGAUCUUUAGCUGGUCUGAGAGGACGAUCAGCCACACUGGAACUGAGACACGGUCCAGACUCCUACGGGAGGCAGCAGUGGGGAAUAUUGGACAAUGGGGGCAACCCUGAUCCAGCUAUGCCGCGUGAGUGAUGAAGGCCUUCGGGUUGUAAAGCUCUUUAGCUAGGGAAAAUAAUGAUUGUACCUAGAGAAUAAGCCCCGGCAAACUCUGUGCCAGCCGCCGCCGUAA
rnacentral:rRNA from 1 species